CGGCAGAAAAUAACAGCCUUCAUCAAUUACGAGUAAAAAGUACAAUUGAAAGGAAGGCUAUUAUAGAAAAGAAGAUUCAACGUUUACAAAAUAAAAAUAAGCGCAAACUUCCAAAGAAAAAGAACUCUGGUAUUUUAUAUUUAGGGCAUAUCCCUUUUGGUUUUUUUGAAAAAGAAAUGAGAAUCUUUUUUUCUCAAUUUGGAGAAGUAAAACGUUUACGCCUUUCGCGUUCUAGAAAAACUGGAAACUCUCGUGGUUACGCUUUUAUUGAAUUUAAAAAUAAAGAAGUUGCUGAAAUUGCUGCCGAAGCAAUGGAUAACUAUUUGAUUUAUAAUAGGCUUUUAAAAGCGAAAUGUAUACCAGUUGAAGAAAUUCAUCCAAAGACUUUUAAAGGAAUUUCCC